ensembl:lncRNA
GUAAAGAAAGCUCAUUUAUUAAAUGUCUGCAUGUCUUGACUGCCAUCUUAACUACGGCAAAUAUUAGCGCUUUGAGGUGACAAGCAAGAAAAAAUUGAAUGUAUCAUCAUCAGAUUUAUAAUGCUGAUUUUAUGAAGUAGAACUAUACAGAGAAGUUGGAAGUGAACAGUGCUCAGAAAAUGCACCAGAAAUUACUCUGUCCAGGGGACUGUGCCUAUAUUGCUACAAAAAGAAAGGCAGAGCCUCAGGACUGCUGAUGUGUCCUAGCUCCACGACGCUUAGGCACCAAGAUAAUCCCGGAGCCAUAUAUCUGUCAUACACCUCCUGGUCCAUCCUUUCUCUGGUUCUUGAAGUAACAGCCUCACCUUGUUCAUUGAACAGUGAAUGUACAUAAAAUGUUGUCUUUUCUCCUCAUGAUUAGAAGAAACAAACCUGACUCUGCCCUGGCAACAAACUUGCUAUGGAGAUGCCAACAGACUGUUUUCUUCCAGAAGCUGUACGCCACUAAAGAGAUAAACUGAGGAUGAAAGCAACACCUACAUCCAUGAGAGAGAGCAUCAGAGAUAUAAGGAAGAGGAUAAACAUACAGCCGUUCAAAGUGUUCAAAUCAAGCAGGAUCCCAUCCCUUAGAGCAGGCAAGUUACCAAAGCGGCUACAAAAACAGCACCUUAACACAGUGACAUUCAGUAGUGCUCCCAAUCCAAAAGCUGGGAGCUGCAUCUCGAUGUGUUUGGAGAUGACUGCUUUUAUAUAUGCACAGACCAGCAGCUGAGCAUGGCAAGGCAUCAAAGAAAAGCACUGCUUUCCUUUUAUACUUGCCAGCAUGAUUUACGGAGAGAGCUGUCUCCCUCAGGAGAUCAAAGUAAUGUUUGCUACAGACACCUUGCUCACAGAGAAGGUGGCAAUGGAAGAGUUUGAAGCAGUUUUCUCAUGUGCUGCCUAAUGCUUUCCUCUCUGUGCUUAUUAAUUUCUGUUUUAAUUCAAGACCAACAAUUGGUGACUUUAAAAGAUGAGAGAUCUGUCGAACACUGGAGAUGUUUUUACCAGACUUUAAGCUAAUGAAAUCGAAAAGGCUUACAAUAAAUUAAAAAUAAUGGUUCUGGAUAUCAUCGAUUUCCUCUCUACAUAUAUUUAGAAACCAAAUGUUUCUUAGACACAGCUAAGAAAAUAGUCAACAAUGAAGACAGAACUGAUCAGAAGAGUGUCUUAAGAAGUCUGCCAGAAAUAAAUACUCGUCUUUUCUAUUCUAUUUCUUCAGUGCAGGAUGCUCCAAGUGUAAAUCCCCCGUUCUGUAUUUUUUUCUGGAGGAAUUAACAUUUCUUUUAUAGAUAACAGCUAGUGGAAAGCACUCUUAGUACUCCUUUGAAGCUUGUAUAUGUAGAAAUAAACUGUUAUACUUCAUGCUCUAUAAAUUUUACUGUUUUCCUCCAAUUUCAAACCAAAUUAAGUCAGAGCUACAUUUACAGGGCUCCAAAUGUGAUUAGCAAUUAUUGUUGCUCAUACAUUAUUUAUGGAGCAUUCAUUUUAUAUGCCAAUUACAAGCAUUGAUACACUGUUUCAUAUAUUCUUCUGAACUGGCAACUGAUUUUAAAUUAUACGCCUUAAUUUUGUAUUUUUGGAAAAAAAAAAAUCUCUGUCACUAACUUAACUGUGAAGAAUGCAAUGCUUCUGUUGGAAACCAAUUACCCAUAACCUAUGAAUCAACAGAGGUCAUCUUACAAUCUACUUUAACUGAUUCAGAGAAGAAGUUUCCAUAACAAAUACAAAUAACCUAAGACUAAACAGAUAAAUCUAUCAACUGUCAGUUGAGAUGGUCAGUUUAUCAGUCUAGGUCAUUCAAAACAGCACUAGGAUUUGAUUUAUCAUGAACACAGACG